GAUGAACGCUGGCGGCGUGCCUAAUACAUGCAAGUCGAGCGAACAGAUGAGGAGCUUUCUCUUUUGAUGUUAGCGGCGGACGGGUGAGUAACACGUGGGUAACCUACCUAUAAGACUGGGAUAACUUCGGGAAACCGGAGCUAACACCGGAUAACAUUUAGAACCGCAUGGUUCUAUAGUGAAAGAUGGUUUUGCUAUCACUUAUAGAUGGAUCCGCGCCGUAUUAGCUAGUUGGUAAGGUAACGGCUUACCAAGGCAACGAUACGUAGCCGACCUGAGAGGGGGGGCGGACACACUAGAACGGAACCGCGGCACGGACUACUACGGGAGGCAGGGGAGGAGUAUCGUCCACAAUGGGCGAAAGCCGGGCGGAACCACGCCACGUGAGGGAAAAAGGGAUUGGGUUCGGAAAACUCUGCUAUUAGGGAAGAACAAAUGUGUAAGCAACUGUGCACAUCUUGACGGUACCUAAUGAGAAAGCCACGGCUAACUACGUG
rnacentral:rRNA from 1 species